rnacentral:rRNA from 1 species
UACGGAGGGUGCAAGCGUUAUCCGGAUUCACUGGGUUUAAAGGGUGUGUAGGCGGGCUAUUAAGUCCGAGGUGAAAUCUCCGAGCUUAACUCGGAAACUGCCUUGGAUACUAUUAGUCUUGAAUAUCGUUGAGGUUGGCGGAAUAUGUCAUGUAGCGGUGAAAUGCUUAGAUAUGACAUAGAACACCGAUUGCGAAGGCAGCUAGCUAAACGAUGAUUGACGCUGAGGCACGAAAGCGUGGGGAUCAAACAGG